rnacentral:rRNA from 1 species
GACGAACGCUGGCGGCGUGCUUAACACAUGCAAGUCGAGCGGUAAGGCCUCUUCUGGGGUCCGCUAGCGGCGCACGGGUGUGUAACACGUGGGUGACCUUCCCUCAGCUCUGGGAUAAGCCUGGGAAACUGGGUCUAAUACCGGCAAUGACCUUUCCUCGCAUGGGGUUGGGUGUAAAGUUUUUUCGGCUGGGGAUGGGCCGGCGUCCUAUCAGCUUGUUGGUGGGGUGAUGGCCUACCAAGGCGACGACGCGUAGCUGGCCUGAGAGGGCGAGCGGCCACAUCGGGACGGAGGCAGGGGCCAGACAUCUACGGGAGGGAGCAGUAGGGAAUAUUGGGCAAGGGGCGGGAGCCAGGAGGAGCGACGCCGCGUGGAGGAUGACGGCCUGCGGGGUGGAAACCUCUGUCGACCCCGACGAAUUUGGACGGUAGCGGUAGAAGAAGCACCGGCCAACUACGUG